rnacentral:rRNA from 1 species
ACGGGGGGCGCAAGCGUUAUUCGGAAUUAUUGGGCGUAAAGGGCGCGCAGGCGGUCUUGUCCGUCAGGUGUGAAAGCUCGGGGCUCAACCCCGGAAGUGCACUUGAAACAGCAAGACUUGAAUACGGGAGAGGAGAGAGGAAUUCCUGGUGUAGAGGUGAAAUUCGUAGAUAUCAGGAGGAACACCGAUGGCGAAGGCAUCUCUCUGGACCGAUAUUGACGCUGAGGCGCGAAGGCGUGGGUAGCGAACGGG